rnacentral:rRNA from 1 species
UACAGAGGUCUCGAGCGUUGUUCGGAUUCAUUGGGCGUAAAGGGUGCGUAGGCGGUCGCGCAAGUCGGAUGUGAAAUCUUAGGGCUCAACCCUGAAACUGCAUUCGAUACUGCGUGGCUCGAGUACUGGAGAGGAGACUGGAAUUUACGGUGUAGCAGUGAAAUGCGUAGAUAUCGUAAGGAACACCAGUGGCGAAGGCGAGUCUCUGGACAGUUACUGACGCUGAGGCACGAAGGCCAGGGGAGCAAACGGG